rnacentral:rRNA from 1 species
GGUUAAGUGACUAAGCGUACACGGUGGAUGCCUAGGCAGUCAGAGGCGAUGAAGGGCGUGCUAAUCUGCGAAAAGCGUCGGUAAGGUGAUAUGAACCGUUACAACCGGCGAUACCCGAAUGGGGAAACCCAGUGUGUUUCGACACACUAUCAUGUCAUGAAUACAUAGUGGCAUGAGGCGAACCGGGGGAACUGAAACAUCUAAGUACCCCGAGGAAAAGAAAUCAACCGAGAUUCCCCCAGUAGCGGCGAGCGAACGGGAGGAGCCCAGAACCUGAAUCGGCUUGUGUGUUAGUGGAAGCGUCUGGAAAGUCGCGCAGCAAAGGGUGAUAGCCCCGUACACUAAAAUGCACAGGUCGUGAGUUCGAUGAGUAGGGCGGGACACGUGACAUCCUGUCUGAAUAUGGGGGGACCAUCCUCCAAGGCUAAAUACUCCUGACUGACCGAUAGUGAACCAGUACCGUGAGGGAAAGGCGAAAAGAACCCCGGCGAGGGGAGUGAAAUAGAACCUGAAACCGUGUACGUACAAGCAGUGGGAGCACCUUCGUGGUGUGACUGCGUACCUUUUGUAUAAUGGGUCAGCGACUUAUAUUUUGUAGCAAGGUUAACCGUAUAGGGGAGCCGUAGGGAAACCGAGUCUUAACUGGGCGAAUAGUUGCAAGGUAUAGACCCGAAACCCGGUGAUCUAGCCAUGGGCAGGUUGAAGGUUGGGUAACACUAACUGGAGGACCGAACCGACUAAUGUUGAAAAAUUAGCGGAUGACUUGUGGCUGGGGGUGAAAGGCCAAUCAAACCGGGAGAUAGCUGGUUCUCCCGAAAGCUAUUUAGGUAGCGCCUCGUGAACUCAUCUUCGGGGGUAGAGCACUGUUUCGGCUAGGGGGCCAUCCCGGCUUACCAAACCGAUGCAAACUCCGAAUACCGAAGAAUGUUAUCACGGGAGACACACGGCGGGUGCUAACGUCCGUCGUGAAGAGGGAAACAACCCAGACCGCCAGCUAAGGUCCCAAAGUCAUGGUUAAGUGGGAAACGAUGUGGGAAGGCAUAGACAGCCAGGAUGUUGGCUUAGAAGCAGCCAUCAUUUAAAGAAAGCGUAAUAGCUCACUGGUCGAGUCGGCCUGCGCGGAAGAUGUAACGGGGCUAAACCAUGCACCGAAGCUGCGGCAGCGACGUUUAGGCGUUGUUGGGUAGGGGAGCGUUCUGUAAGCCGUUGAAGGUGGCCUGUGAGGGUUGCUGGAGGUAUCAGAAGUGCGAAUGCUGACAUAAGUAACGAUAAAGCGGGUGAAAAGCCCGCUCGCCGGAAGACCAAGGGUUCCUGUCCAACGUUAAUCGGGGCAGGGUGAGUCGACCCCUAAGGCGAGGCUGAAAAGCGUAGUCGAUGGGAAACAGGUUAAUAUUCCUGUACUUGGUGUUACUGCGAAGGGGGGACGGAGAAGGCUAGGCUAGCCGGGCGACGGUUGUCCCGGUUUAAGCGUGUAGGGGGUGUGACCUGGUAAAUCCGGUUGCAUAUCAACCCUGAGGCGUGAUGACGAUGCACUACGGUGCAGAAGUAGUUGAUGCCCUGCUUCCAGGAAAAGCCUCUAAGCUCUAGGUAACAUUAAAUCGUACCCCAAACCGACACAGGUGGUCAGGUAGAGAAUACCAAGGCGCUUGAGAGAACUCGGGUGAAGGAACUAGGCAAAAUGGUGCCGUAACUUCGGGAGAAGGCACGCUGGCAUGUAGGUGAAGUCCUUCGCGGAUGGAGCUGAAGCCAGUCGAAGAUACCAGCUGGCUGCAACUGUUUAAUAAAAACACAGCACUGUGCAAACACGAAAGUGGACGUAUACGGUGUGACGCCUGCCCGGUGCUGGAAGGUUAAUUGAUGGGGUCAGCCGCAAGGCGAAGCUCUUGAUCGAAGCCCCAGUAAACGGCGGCCGUAACUAUAACGGUCCUAAGGUAGCGAAAUUCCUUGUCGGGUAAGUUCCGACCUGCACGAAUGGCGUAAUGAUGGCCAGGCUGUCUCCACCCGAGACUCAGUGAAAUUGAACUCGCUGUGAAGAUGCAGUGUACCCGCGGCAAGACGGAAAGACCCCGUGAACCUUUACUAUAGCUUGACACUGAACAUUGAGCCUUGAUGUGUAGGAUAGGUGGGAGGCUUUGAAGCGUGGACGCCAGUCUGCGUGGAGCCAUCCUUGAAAUACCACCCUUUAAUGUUUGAUGUUCUAACUCGGCCCCAUAAUCUGGGGUGAGGACAGUGUCUGGUGGGUAGUUUGACUGGGGCGGUCUCCUCCCAAAGAGUAACGGAGGAGCACGAAGGUUAGCUAAUCACGGUCGGACAUCGUGAGGUUAGUGCAAAGGCAUAAGCUAGCUUGACUGCGAGAGUGACGGCUCGAGCAGGUACGAAAGUAGGUCUUAGUGAUCCGGUGGUUCUGAAUGGAAGGGCCAUCGCUCAACGGAUAAAAGGUACUCCGGGGAUAACAGGCUGAUACCGCCCAAGAGUUCAUAUCGACGGCGGUGUUUGGCACCUCGAUGUCGGCUCAUCACAUCCUGGGGCUGAAGUAGGUCCCAAGGGUAUGGCUGUUCGCCAUUUAAAGUGGUACGCGAGCUGGGUUUAGAACGUCGUGAGACAGUUCGGUCCCUAUCUGCCGUGGGCGUUGGAAGAUUGAGAGGGGUUGCUCCUAGUACGAGAGGACCGGAGUGAACGCACCACUGGUGUUCGGGUUGUCAUGCCAAUGGCAUUGCCCGGUAGCUAAGUGCGGAAAAGAUAAGCGCUGAAAGCAUCUAAGCGCGAAACUUGCCUCAAGAUGAGUCUUCCCUGGGCCUUUAAGGUCCCUGAAGGAACGUUUAAGACUAAGACGUUGAUAGGCUGGGUGUGUAAGUGCAGCGAUGCAUUGAGCUAACCAGUACUAAUGAUCCGUGAGGCUUAACCUU